rnacentral:rRNA from 1 species
GGGUCGAAUGAAGACAGCAGGAAGCUGCGUGUCGGUAUGUGAAUAGCAAGAAUACCAGAUACAUCGACAAGUCGAACGCACAUGGCGGCGGCGGCACUAUCAUGUGCUGCCGUCACUCCUACACGAGGGUCGG